rnacentral:rRNA from 1 species
GAUGAACGCUGGCGGCAUGCCUAAUACAUGCAAGUCGAACGAGAGGAAGGAAAGCUUGCUUUCCUGAAUCUAGUGGCGAACGGGUGAGUAACACGUAGGUAACCUGCCCAUGUGCCCGGGAUAACUUCUGGAAACGGAUGCUAAAACCGGAUAGGUAGCAGACAAGCAUUUGACUGCUAUUAAAGUGGCCUUGGCCCUGAAGAUGGAUGGGCCUGCGGCGCAUUAGCUAGUUGGUGAGGUAACGGCCCACCAAGGCGACGAUGCACAGCCGGCCUGAGAGGGCGGACGGCCACAUUGGGACUGAGACACGGCCCAAACUCCUACGGGAGGCAGCAGUAGGGAAUUUUCGUCAAUGGGGGGAACCCUGAACGAGCAAUGCCGCGUGAGUGAGGAAGGUCUUCGGAUCGUAAAGCUCUGUUGUAAGAGAAAAACGGCACUCAUAGGGAAUGAUGAGUGAGUGAUGGUAUCUUACCAGAAAGUCACGGCUAACUACGUGCCAGCCGCCGCUGUAAGAC